rnacentral:rRNA from 1 species
GACGAACGCUGGCGGCGUGCUUAACACAUGCAAGUCGAACGGAAAGGCCCUGCUUUUGUGGGGUGCUCGAGUGGCGAACGGGUGAGUAACACGUGAGUAACCUGCCCUUGACUUUGGGAUAACUUCAGGAAACUGGGGCUAAUACCGGAUAGGAGCUCCUGCUGCAUGGUGGGGGUUGGAAAGUUUCGGCGGUUGGGGAUGGACUCGCGGCUUAUCAGCUUGUUGGUGGGGUAGUGGCUUACGAAGGCUUUGAAGGGUAGCCGGCCUGAGCGGGUGACCGGCCACAUUGGGACUGAGAUACGGCCCAGACUCCUACGGGAGGCAGCAGUGGAGAAUAUUGCACAAUGGGCGGAAGCCUGAUGCAGCAACGCCGCGUGCGGGAUGACGGCCUUCGGGUUGUGAACCGCUUUCGCCUGUGACGAAGCGUGAGUGACGGUAAUGGGUAAAGAAGCACCGGCUAACUACGUG